AGACAUUGUUAACGAACUGAAAAAAAAAAAACAGAAACGGGCAGGUCACGUCGUGUUGAGCAGAUAAAAUUACAUGUUUAAAAAAGUCUACGCCAGAAAAAUUCAAGAGACAAAUGACCACUAGGAAAGUCAAAGCUUCGUUGAGACUUUUCAAGUAUCUUAGAGGAGAAACAGGUAAAUAUAGACUGGAAGUAGGUAGCGGUAUAUAAAAUAGACCUGAAAAGAAUUUGUUCAGUAUUAUGGUCUCAAAGACCUUUUUAAAAUUAAAAUAAAAUUAAUGGUAAUUAUUCUACCGAUGAUGACGUGAAAACGGCCGGACGUCAUCGAAGAUUAAGAAAAUAACUAUAAUAAUCAUAUUUAAAUUUUAAAAAGUAUUUAAAGAGGGCGUAGUCUAGGCGUGUAGUAAUAUUCGUAAUUGAUAUUCGUGAACAUAAUUAAUUAGGUAAGUAAUCGAUAUGUUCAAUAUUGAAAGUAAUAUAAGUAUAGGUAUCGUUAAACUAUGUAUUUAAAUUUGUAUUUCGUGUACCUACAUGGUAUACUUUGGACUUAAAAAUACUAUUAUCAGAAUAACCGAUUUUUAUCGUCGGAUCUAUAAAUACAAUAAAUAGGUCGCUGUAGUGUAAUUAUUAAAUAAACAUUAAUUCUGCAGAAUCGGAUUUAUGUGUAAAUUCUAAUUUUUUUUUUCUUAAGUAGACUUUCACUUUACUUUCUUGUACACCUGUCUAAAGUGCUGACUAAGUGCUGUGCACAAAAUGUUUUUAUUUUACAAACUUGUCUUGAAAAACCAUUGCAUUAUAUAAAUAAUUACGAGAUCUAAUAAUAUACAUAUUGGAACAGACCCGUUCGAGGGAGGAGCAAGACAGUAGGGGCUAUAGCCCUAGAACUUGGGUUUCAAAGAGGGUCCAGGCCCGACCAAAGCCACCAGGUCCUAUAUUUUACCUAAUUUUUACAUUAAUGUACAAAUUAUUUGUAGUUUAAUUUCAUAAUAUUUUACUAAAAUAUCAGUACACAUUAUAUUAAAAAUUAAAUGUAAUAAUGAUAUAAAAAUUACUUUGUAGCAUAUUAUAUGUGUUAGUUAAUACUAAUAUAUGAUUUUAGAUUCUGAGUGGAGUGAAGAAGUUUAUAGUUUUACGAAAAUAUUUAUUUUGUUUUUUUUUUUGUAUCUGUGCGUGACUUUUCUGAAAAGAACUCCGUGUUGGGAAGUACUUUAGAGAAGUAAUUUUUCGAUUUUUUCAGGAGUUCUAGAAAUUAUUAUCUGAUUAUUCUGAAAAUGUUGACGUAUCAACUCUUUAUUUUCAUAAAAUUCGUAAUUUAAUAAUUUAUCUUCGGUUUAUCUUUGUGAGAUUAUUUUCGAGCUGUUCCCAACUGUUUUCAGUGGUGAAACAUUAUAAGGAACAAAAUCGAUUUCCUGUCGCUGUUAAAUUGGAGGAAUAUUUGUAGUAGAAAACAUCGAGUUAAUAUAAUAAAAACAAUGAAAAAGGUAAUGCCACGGUGUAAAAAUGUUUCGUUUUACCUAUACUUUUAUUUCGGGUUUUUCCCAAUUAUUUCAAAAACCCCUCGGAAAAUCGAAAAAUGACCUUUUCAAUAGAUUCAAUGAGAGAAAAUUAUCUUCUAGAAAAGGUGCUACAGUCUUCGGAUCAAAUUUUUUGGUAGAAAAGUUAUUCACAGACAUAAAAACAAAAAAAAAGUAUAAAAACGAUCAUCAUUGUAAAACCAAUAGAUCACUCGAUACGCUUCGAAUCUAAUACAUCCAUCAUCUAUGAUAUUAAAUGAAACACAUUUUCGUAUACAAAUUAUUUGUUUUAUUAUUAUUAUUAUUAAAAAAAAGGCUUUUGCCUUGAAAUCCCGAAAUCCUUUUUAUUAGUUAGUUUAAUUAAUAUUAGUGAUGGAAGUAUUUUAAUUUUAUACAUCAUUAAUUUAUUACAAGUUUGAUAUAAUAAUUGGGAUUGCACAAUAUUUGGAAAAAAAAUUUAAACAUUCGUACUAACUUAUAAAAAAAAACUUAAAAAAAUUAACGUAGACCGUUGUAAUCGUAAUUAGCGUCAACGUUUCCGCUUUGGGUUUCAAAUUUAAUUUUAGACCAGAUAAAAUUUCUCAUAUGGACGACGUGGUGCGAACUUUAGGAACCACUGUUAUAGAGUAAAAACUAAAUUUAAAAAAAAAAUCUAUAGUGGUGCACACCUAUUAUUAAUAUGUGAUUGAUGAUUAAUAGCCUAUUAAUCAUGAUACUUUAUAAUUUUUCAUCUGUAAACAUUAUAUAUUAGACUAACUUUGGAAUGUCACGGUCAUAUUUUAGUUCCUGUGUACAAACUUUCGGUAUAAUAAUAGCGUCCGAUUGUAAUAAUAAACGUUUCCAACAAUCCGACAACCCGUAUAUAAUUAAAGACGUUAUUAAAUUAUUGUGAGUUGUGACUACCUUAGUUUAAUGCAUCGAACUCUUCCGUUUUCUUGCAUGUCAUAAUAAUUUUUGAAAAACGUUUAAUUUUGUACUGCCUAUUUAAUAUACGUAUUUAUGCGAAAACAUGGCGAUAAACCUUUUAAAAAUCUAUUACAAUGUAUAAAUCGCAUCCACUUAGUGAAAUCGCUUUUUUCACAAAGUGGACAUCCACUUCAUGAAAUGUAUCCAUUCAAUGAAAAUUACGUUUUUCUACACUAUAUGGACAAUUUGUUGACCUUUUCAUGAAGUGGAUAAAAUUAAUUUUAUUCACAUUGUGUAAUAUAUAAAUAUAUAUAUUUUAUGAAAUAGGUAUUGUAUAAUAUUUUGUCACAUUGUACAUAUAUGCUUACUAAAAACGAUUCUGAGCGGAGUUCAGUUAAUAGUGAUGUUUGUAAACAAUAUGUAUAUCAUGGUAAAAUAAUUAAAUAGGCAUUAUAUAUUUUCUUUAAUAACAUUUGUUUAAUAUUGUACCGAUAUUUCCGUUUUUCCUACGUUUUUCCUGGUUUUUCAUAUUUGCUGACCACUGGAACGUUUAUACCUACAUACUAAAAUAUUUUAUGUUCACUGAAUGUCCCAUUGUCAUUAUGUUGUCACAUGAAAUCUUUACGUAUUAAUUUGCAGUCCAUUUCAUAUAAAUAUAAAUCAAUCUUUAUUUUUAGAAGUUGAUAUUUUUUUUUCAUAAAUUUACUAGGCCAAGGGUCAAUAAGUUAAAAAUUUUCAUAUAGAAUUCCGGCAUUCAGAUGCCCCCCAAACAUCUGCUGCCCGGGGCAAGUCCCCUUAAAACCCUUCGUCAAAUACGACCCUCCUAAAUGCAUCCAAAUUAUACGCAUAUUGAAAGGAAACAAUUUUACAAAAAAAAAAUAAUAAUAAUAAUAAUUUUAAAUUAAAUAUUGGACUUAUAAACGGCCAAAAGAGUACGGGAAUAUGUUUUAAUAUUACAAAUCUCGAACAUAUACCUAAUUAGUACAUAAAAAUGAAUUUGUGAUUUACUUGUUUAUUAGAAAUGUAUGCUUAAAUACUUCAAAUAAUGGAACAAGGUAAGCGUUUGUUAACCAUGCUGGCCUACAAAUGGGUAAAUAAUAGCGUAAGACGGACAAAUAAUUAGCAUUCAUACCGUUCUAAAGUACCUAUACCUCUAUAUUUUAUUUUUUUUUUAAAUUCCUUCAAUAAUUUUCAACUACCGGUCUCAGAGCCAGACACUCGAAAUUCCCCGAGUUCUAUUACUUCGGAUAUAAUAAUAUGUUCUGAUAAUAAUACAAGUGAUAUACGAUGGCUGAUAAUAUGCUAUUAUGCUAUAAUAAUAAUAUUAUAAAAAAUUGUGUACCUAUUAUAAUACUGUGGUAUAGUUAAUCAUAAUUUAGGUAAACAAACUAUAGUAGAGAGAAGGAUUUGUGUCUUUUAUUCACAGACUAAAAUAUGUGUAGUUUAUACGAUAUAGUUAAUGUAAUAAUGAUAACAUCGAAUAGUAUAUUUUUAGAUUCUGAGUGGAGCGAUGAAUAUAUUGGUUUUACAAAGAUGAUUAUUAUUUUACGUAGUUAUUGAAAAACCGAUAAAAAACUAUAUUAAACAUAUUAUUAUAGAGUUUAUUUAUGCGAAAGUAUUUAUAAUAUUAAUAUUAAUAUUAUUAUUCUAUUAAAAUAAAUCAAUGUAAUUCAGAACCAGAAAUGUUAUAUCUAUCUGGAACGGAAUAGUAUUUGUCACGGUCAUGGUUUCAUAAAAUAUUUUAUAAUAAUAAUACAAUGCGUAUAGAGAAUUUUUUACGUGCAACUCGUUAAUACUAACGUGAAAAAUGGCAAAAUAAAUAUUUUCUAAAUUUUAGUCGUUUUUUACCAUAUUAUAUUAAUAAAAUAACGAAAUACUAUUACUAUUUUGAUAACGUUUCACAUGGUCUCACAGAUCUAUAUAGCAAUAAAACAUUUCAUAAUAAUUAUAUUUCAAUAAGUUACAUAGAAUAUGUUUUGCCUUAAAUGUCUAUUUAAUUUAAAUAGGUAAACUAAAAAAUAUAAUUGAAGCAUCGUUACUAUAGUAAUAAUUCUAUAUUCUGUAAACAAUUAUAGCUAUAUAAAAAAAAGCAUAAUUUAUUAUGUUGAUAAUUUCUUAAAAGCCAGAAUAACUAUAAAAAUAUGAUUAAAUUUUUAUCAUUAGUUAUUAUGUAUUAUUAUAUUGUGCAAGGAACUCGUGUAUUUGUGUAUACGUAUUAUGUAUUAGUGGUUCGUAAAGUUAGGUAAAUAUUGUAUGGUAAAUAUACACAAUACGUAACCAUUCCUCUUGUUACUAUGAUCGUAUAAAAAUAGGCCAUUGUUUAAAAUUCUAAAUGUUAAACGACGUAGUGUGUUAAAACUUAAAACAUAAUGAUGAUUUUUCCUUGUAUUGAACCCGAACAAAUAAUUAUAUUUAAAACUGUUCGGAAGAAUUCGUUUUUAUGCAAAAUAUUAAGCUACGCUGUUUAGACGGUAUAAUAAUAUUAUACACGGUUAAAUAAAAGAGAUAAAUACCUGAUGUUAUUUGUUUAGUAAUAUUUUAUGGGGUCGGAUGGAAACUUUGUCUAAUUAACUUUUACUAAAACGUAGAUGAAUGUUACUCAACAUCCGUAAUUUAAUUCUAUUUAGAUAUAAUAGCUGCAGACAAAUUAGUUAUAAUACAGUGGUAUAAAAUUACACCGAAAUAAGGAGUAACUGCCAGCUAUAUUGGAACACUUGUAUUAUAAUAAACAUGUUAGAGAUAUUUAAUUAUGAUUAUGUAUAAUUUUACACGCAGUUUAAAUAUUGAAGUGUUGGUCAAACUGAACAAUAUUUUCCUUGUUUUUCAGUAAUUUGUCGAUUGAAUUUCAUGUUCACAAUAUACCCGUAUACUAUCUAUGUCAAAUUACCGAUUAUAUGCAUUGUAUUCUACUGAUUUAUUAGUAAAAUAUAUGAAUCCUAAACAAUUACGAGUUAUGUUAUAGCUGCGCAUUGUUUAUUUUUGUUCGUUUUUUUUGUUACAAAUUCAUAUACUUUUUGAUAUUAUUUAUUAUACAUGCUUAUCUAAAAUGGCCGAAAAUUGUUCGGAAAUUGAUGGAGUGACCUUGUCCUGUAUUUAAUGUAGCAGUAACAGCUGUAGCAUUUACCGUUAAUUUGUCAUUUAAGGUUGGAGAUUCGGAAUAAAAUGUUUCUUUUUUGCGACACAUAAAACGUUUAAAAUAAAAUUCAGACAAAUACCAUUAACAGAUUUCAUGUGUAAAAAGAAAGACAUACUUCGCACGUGGGUGUUAGGAAGUUGAGAAGAUAGGAUACAGAAGAGGAUUUCAUGUAUAUCUGUAAGCAACAAUAAACCAUUGCUAACGAAAAAAACGAUUCUGAGCGGAGUUUAGUUAUGUUAUAUUUCAGUCAUAUUAUGGUAAAAUAAUUAAAUGGUAUUACACAUUUUCUUUAAUAAUAUUUGUUUAAUAUUGAUCGAUUUUCUCGUUUUUCUACGUUUUUCCUUGUUUUCCCUUUUUUUUUCUAAUUUGUCCAAUUUGUUGAAAAAAAUGUUAAAAUAAAAAUAAAAAAAAUAAACAUCUUUGUAAAACCAAUACAUUCUUCGCUAUAAUUAGAAUCUAAAAUUAAUACAUUAUUUUACGUGUAUGGAACUUUUUAUUAUCAAAUCAAUAUGUAUUGUUAUUAUUUGUUUAUUAUUAUUUAUGGAUUAACGAACUACAAUACAACUAAUAACUUUUUAUUUUUUACUUAUCAAAAACUGUUUUCGCGUACAGCAGAUUGAGAACCGCUGAUCUAGAUAACUAUUUUAUCAUUUGUUCCACACUUCAAACAAUAUAAAUCUAAUAUUAUUAAAAAUAAUAAUAUUAUCAACUGGCUGCCUGUAAAAUCAUUGCCGUUUCACCCGGUAAAACUGAAUAUUGUUGCAAUUAACAUUUCGACGGAAAAUCGAUCAAGAGUAUUACCACUAGUGAUGUGCAUAUCCGGAUAAUGCAUAUAAUUCAAGAAAUCCUGAUAAGAAUUUGAUUCAAAUGCGGAUUUAAAUAUCCUUGAUAGUCAGAUAAUUCGGAUUUCGGAUUUGCGAGGCCGCAGUUCGGAGCUCUAAUGAUGUGGACUCCAACAUUUUAAAGUUUUUCUAUGAGAUCAUUUACGGCGGUAAAACCACUGUUAAAUAAUAAUGGUGAUUACAAAUUUGUAUUUGUGUCCGAAUAUUAAAUAAUAUAAAUAAUCCGAGACAUAACGUAAUUCUUGUUCCUAUCUGUUUUAUGAUUAUGUUUAGAAUGCUACCCCCACAAAAAAAAAAUAAUAAAAAUAAAUAAACAUAUUUGUAAAAUCAUACGCUUUUUCGCUCCACUCAGAAUCUAAAAUACAAUAAUGGAUUUGGACAUGGGAAUUGUAGUUGUAUUGCAAAUAUUAUUAAUUUUAGGUGUAUAAUGUUUAGGUUUUGGUUUCGUGCCCAUCGCUUUUGUUAAAAUCACAAAUACUGAAAACCUUAAAGCACAUUAAACACCAAAGUUAAUUUUUACAUUUAUAGAUGGUAAUAGUUAACAUCAAAAGAAAUAAAUCGUCAUAAAUUGUUAUUAUAUUUCUUAAAUGUUACAUUUAAUUCACAAUUCAUUCUAUCUUUGUAAUUACAAUCUGUCAUUCGAUCUAAAUGGUAGUAUGAUAUAUCAUUUAUACAUUUAUCUUCGGAUAUGCAUCGGGUUAUGCUGACAUCAUGGACGUUCACUGGAGGACAAAGGUGGAGAUAAUAUAUUCUCUGGCUUUUAAAUACCGAAAAAAAAUUACGUUAAAAACUCUUAAAAUUAAAAUGUCUUUAAAAAGCUCAAAAAUGGCUCAAAUGUUUUGAAAAUUUUACUACGUUUCAAAAAUACUACCUAGUAUAAGUUUUAUAAAAAAACGUAUUCUGACCAAAUUUCAAAUCUAUACGAACAUUUUUAAAUAAAUUACAACAAAAUAACAGUACAUUUACUCGAUUUUUCUACAAUUUUUUCCUGGUUUUUAUCAAUUAUUAUGAAAACUGCUUGGAAAAUCUAAAAAAUAAACUCAUUUAAGUACUAAUCAUAUAAAAUUUCCUUUAAGAAAAGGUGCUACAUUUCAAAAUUAGAGCAAGAAUAGAGAUAGAAUUUUUGUAUAUAUAGUAUAAAAAAAAAAUUAUAAAUAAACAUCAUUUUAAAAUGAAUACAUUCCACGCUUCGUCCAGAAUGUAAAAUGAUUUAUGACCUAUAUGAAUAUGUGGAUACGAGAAACACAGUAAAACACAUUAAGAGAUUACCUUGAUAUUAUAUUUGUUUUUUAAUAUUAGUAGUUUAGGUAUACAAAACUAAACUUGACCAUGAAAUAUAUAUCAGCAUUAUUAUAUAGAUUACUUAGUUAACUUAUUUUUUGUUUAAUACUUUUGAUUUUAAAAAAAUUUAGCCUUAAUAUUUAUAAAUCUUAUACAUCUUUAAGUUUUGUUUUUUUAUUUGUAUUAUACAUGUAUAUAUGUUUAUUACAUUUAAUUUUUUUGUCAUGGAUAUUAUGCUGUUUCUAUAUGAAUACGCAUUUUUAUUUUAAAAUAACUAAAAACAACAUUUUUUAUAAGUAAUAAGUUAUACUUAAGUUCUAUAAAAUUAAAAAUUAUAAAUCAAAUUUUUAUAAUUUAUAUCUAGUUUAAAGAUAUAUUUUGUUAUAAUCUUUUAGUUAAACGUUGAAUAAUAUUAUGAAAGUUUUAAUUAAUAAAAUAAAAGCUAAUUAAAGUCGUAUAAACAUUAGAAUAAACAAAGUUUAAGAUACAUAUCUAGGUUGUAGUUCAAUAAUUGUUUUUUAAUUUAUUUAUCUACUACUUAAUUACGAUAUAAAAUAUAUUUCAUACAAUUCAUAAAUUCAAACAAUAUAAUUGUAUAGUUUUUAUUAGAGUCGUUCUUAGUAAUAAACUCUCCCUGUAAAAAGAUAUCAGAAUAGCCCCACAUUAUCUCUACAUGUCAUAAGAGACGACUAAUAGAGAUGCGUACAGUUGACAGCUGGUGUUAAAUUCUGUUAAACAGUAUGAUAAGUGCUCAACAAAAUUUUAGUGGAUUGUCUCAUCUCAGAUAUGCAAGGGGAUUACGGACAACAAGUGAAAAGAAGUACCAAGGUUGCAUGAUUUUUUGCAGAAGAUAAGACUAGCUUCAAUAAGAGAAAAUCUGGAAAAAGUUAACAAUAGGAAUGCAGAAUAGAGAGCAACAUUUGAGGAAAAGAGACUAAGGGUAAAUAGAAGUAAAACAGUGUAUGGAUUUGCAGGAACAGAACAAGACAGCUAAUGAUAAUAAGUGGAUACAGAUGAAAUUGAAAGUUUUAAGUACAUAUGGACUUUGUACAAUAAAACAGUGGUUUUCAUGAAUAUAUGAAUUAUAAGAUUAAGUACAAUUGAAUAAAAUGGAUAGAAGCGUCAGGUGAUUUAUGUGAUAAGAGAAUUCCAAUAAGACUUAAAGUUAAGUUCUACAAAAGUGAAGUAAGACUGACUAUAUUGUGUGGUUUGGUAUGUAAGGCCUUAGAUAGAAAAAUAGAACAGAAAAUGAGUGUAGCAGAGAUGAAAAUGCUUAGAUGGAUGAGUGGAAUAAUGAGAGAAGAUAGGAUAAAGGGAUGAGUAUAUAAGAGGGAGCUUAGACAUGACUUCGAUAGUAAAACAAAUAGAGAUAAUAGACUGAGAUGACUUGGACAUGUUAUGAGGAGAGAGAAAUCUGAUGCAGUAAGAUUUGUUAUAAGAAUAAACGUAGGAGGAAAGAAGUAGAGUAGAAGACUAAAAAGGAGAUGAUUUGAUACGGUUGGGGGUGAAAAAAGAAUAACCGGUGAAUGCGAAAUUGCAAGGUGGGAGAAGAUGUAGAAAAAACUAUUAGUAAUAAACUAAUUAUUCUUCUUCUUCUUCAUUUAAAAUAUUUGAUGUCAGCUACCAUUUUCCUAAAUUUCCAUUGCCCUGAUCACCCAUCUCACAUAAUUCAUGAUUAAUAAUCUAUAUACUUAACCUUACAAAAUAAAUUUCAUCAUAAGGGUUUUUAGUUAGGCAAUUUGUAUUAGAUGAACUCAUAGCUGUCAAUAUGUUAGUGUACUUGAGCAUAAUACGGUGCUUAAUAUUCAUACUGAUUAGUACACUAUUAAUAUUUAAAAAAAAGGAAAUUCCUACUUGCUAUUAAAACGUACUUUAAAAUAUCUACACAGUAUAAUUGUAUUAAAAUCGAAAAUAAAAAAAUCAGAGCAACUUUGUACCUGGGUGCAUCAACUGCUGUAUAUAAAAAGUUGGAAAGGUAGUAAAAGGUAAAUUAAAUGUAUAUCUGUAAGUAAAGAUAAACCAUUGGUAACGAAAAAGCGAUUCUGAGGGGAGUUAAGUUAAUAGUGUUGCUUUUUCAACAAUAUAUAUGCCGUAUUAUGGUAAAAUAAUUGCAUAGGCAUUAUAUAUUUCUUUAAUAAUAUUUGUUUAGUAUUGUACUUAUUUUCCGAUUUUUCCUACGGUUAUCUCAUGUUUUUCCCGGUUUGUCUCAUUGAUUGAAAAAUUUCCCGGAGAAAAUCAAAAAAGACAUCUUCAGAGUACCUUUCUAGUCAAAUUUCUUUUUAGAAAAUGUGCUACACUUAAAUAUCGGAGUAAAAUUUCUGGUAGAAAAGUUGUCCACAGAAAAAAAUAUAAAUAAACAUAUUUGUAAAACCAUAAGCUUCUUCACUCCACUCAGAAUAAAGAAUAUAACUUUCUUAAACAAAAAUUUGUUUAUUAAUAAUUAGUAUAAAAAAGAUAAUUGAGAAUUACACCACACAGUAAACAUUAUAUAGGAUACUGGCUAUAUUAUAAUGUACCGAAUUUUUUUAAACACUAUAUGAAAUUUAUACACAGGAUAGAUUACAAUUUUUAAGUUAUAUGAAAAUUUGUUUAAUCGAUCAAAAAAAAUAUUGACAUAUAAACGAAAAACCAUUUAAUUUUAAGGUUUUACACAAAUGAUCAAAUUGAAAAAGUUCGUUGGGAAUUUUAGACAUUUAUCAUUACCAAAUAAUGGCCUUAUGUACUCAGGAGGUAGUACUUUAAUGAAAUGUGUUGUACAUGAUAGGUAAUGUUUAAUUUAUCAAAGCACAUAUUAUAAAUCAAAAACAAAUUAAAAACUCUGAAUCAUUUUUUAUUUUUUUUAGAGCGUUUUUUACAAUUCGAAGGACAUACUUUAUAGUAAUGAUGACAAACAUAUUAUAUUCUGGUAAAUAAUUUAACGUCAAUAACUCAGAAAAAAAUAGUCACAGUUUUAUUAAAAUAUUGAAAUAACUAUAUGAAAAAAAAAAAUGUACAAUUUGCAUUAAAAAAGAAAAAAGAUUUUUUUAUACAUUUGGAAGUAAAUACACGUAUUUCAUAAUUUUUUUUUUUUUUAAGAAUGUAUAUAAAUUAAUUUCAUCUUUCUUAUACAUAAAUUAUUUAAAUGCCUACUUAAUACAACCAUGUAUAAUAGGAAUUUAAUACUUAUUUUAAUAUAUUUUACUAUUAAAUUAUUAUAUUAUUAAAUCAUUAUUAUCAUUACGUUACCAAAAAUAGUUAUUAUCUACUGAUAAUUGUUCAUAAUUCUAACAACACCAAUUGUAAUUCAGUGAUGUAUUCCAUUCAUCUCUUAAGGGCGGGGGGAGGCGGAAUAACCUUAGGUGAAUACUUUUCAUAAUAAAAUUCAGGCCUGAAUCUGAUCAGGACAAUAAACGACAACCAUGAAAGUUGAUAACACAACUUUAACUACAGCGGUGGUUUUAAUUAAUAACUUUUAAACCUACAAAUAUUUACAAACGUUAUUAUUUAUAGUUAAAAAUUAAACAAAAAUGCACAAAGACUAAUUUAAGUUACCUAUAAUGAAACCGAAAUAUUUAAAGAGGAUGACCACAAUGUCCCUUCCAUAAACACCAAAACUGCUAUAAUGAGGUUUUCGCAAGAGAGUUUUACAAAGCUUGAAUUUUUCAUAAACUGGUCUUAAAUAUUGUUAUGAAUAUUUUAAGUUUAAAAUUAUGUAUAAACUUGAAAUUUAUUUUCAAUAAUGAUAGACGACAUAAUAAUAACCUUAAAAGCUUGUACCUAUUGAAUAAAGUUAGUUUUAUUCACUCUUGUUCUUGUAAACAUAUGUAUAAUUGUGUAGUAAAAUUUUUGAAACCAUGAAGCAGAAAAUGUACUUGAAGACUUUUAUGUAACUAUAGAAUUUCUAUAAAAUAUAAAUGUACUUAUACCAUAUACUUACAUAUAAUUUGUACAUUAAAUUAGGAACUUUAAUCCAGUUCACAGUUUUAAACCAUUUCUCAGUUUAGUACAAAUUUAAUUUUGGACAGUGAUAAUAUUUAGUGUCUAUGAAUUAUGGUUAUAAUAUGUGACCAAAUGUUUUAAAAUGAUAAAAACUAUUUAAAUUAACUAUUAAGGUUGUUACGUUUUUAUUUUAAUUUUUUUAUAUUCAGUAAUUUUAUUUUUUUAAAUGCUGAAACAUAACAAUAAUAAUAUGAAACAUAUUAUCUUUUAAAUAUAACUGAAUUUACAUAAAUAAAAAUUUACCAAAGAAAUGAUACAAGUAAAUGCAUAUUUUGAGCUUGAUUAUCAAGUUUGAGUACCUAAGUAACACUGGGUGAAAUAUAAAUGGUAAAUAUAAAUACUGUAAAAUUUAUUGUAGGCAUAAAUACAAAUAUACAAUACAUAUUUCUUAUUGUAACUUGUUUACAAUUCUAUAAAUUAUUUUAAAUAAAAAAAACUAUAUUUUUGUAGCAUAUUUUCAUGUUUAAGGAAUAUUAAGAGAAUAUUUUAAGGUUUUUUAGAACAUAUUAUCAUCAUACACUAAACUUUUAAGAACCUAAAAAUCCGCCCUCUAGCUAUAACAGUUAGACAGCUGAAACGUGAAGAUUUCUAAUCGUAACGGAAAUAGACAUCACUUUUUAUAAUAAAUUCGCUAAAAUAAUAAUAUAAAAAUUGUAGUAAAAUUACACUGUUGUAAAUGUUGAAAUACUUGUUAGAAUUUCGCAUUUGAAAUUUUAAUGUCAAUCGUGAUUUUGCCUGCCAGACAGGAGAAAAAUGUAGAAAUCUACAUUGACGGAGAAAAAUGUAUUCGAUUAUAAUUUAUAAAAAUCACUUUAUAUAGUUUUUAAACAAUAUAAUACCUUGUUCUAAUCAUCAAUUUCAAAGGUGAUUUUCUAGUAGAAAAUUUUGACUAAAUGUUGGUUUUUUUGAAAUAUCAUUUUGGUUUGAUUAUAAUAACAAUACAAAUAAUGGUUUUGUGGUUUCUAAAUAAAAAGUAUUGCACAAAUUACGUUUUCUACAUUCGUUUGGGAUUUUUUUGUUAUUUUUAACAAUAGAAAAAGUUUCCAUUCAAAAUAAUUGCGGUUUACCAAUUGAAUGGGUUCAAGACUAUUGCUUCAUAAAAAUACGAUCUUAGCAACAAGUUUAAUCAAAGAUAUUUGAUUUUACUUUUUACGAUUUCAACUCAGGAAAUGUAUUAAGUAAAUUGUUUUUCAAGUAUAUUAUUGUCUUUUACAUAGCAUCAUUAAAUUGUUAACUAUGUACGUACUAUAUUAUACUAAUAAAUGUUUCUUCGCGUGUUUGCUACAUUACCAUUAAAAAUAGUAUUAAUUUACUGCACGAUUGACACGAAACACGAUCUCUAGAAUAAUAUAUUAUACGUAAAACCGCGAAGUUGACAAAAGAUAAAACUAUAACAAUGCCUACUUCUUUAUAAUAUAGUAAUCUUAAUAGUCAUGAAAAAAUAUUUGUAUACUUAUUGUUUCAUCGGUAAUAAAGAUUAUACAGUUUAUAACUACGAUUAAACUUUUAAAAGAAAAAAAAAACGACAAUAAUAAAGGUAUAUUUUAUAUUUGAAGCGUAAGCCAAAAAAAAAAAACAAACUAAAAACAGUAAAAAAUGUUUAUCUACCUAUUUGGGCUUAACGUAUACGGCAGAAACUGAUUCAGGAAUUAUUCAAUGGGGAGGGGUAGUUAAAAUGUAUACAGUACCAAUAUUAUUCUAUAGGGAACAGUACAAUGCAUUAUAUUAUGCUGAAAGAAGAGGGGGGGUUAUUAAUACUCGAUUAUCCCCAGUGGAUCCCUCACUAGCAUAUACGAUUAAAAUAUUUGGUGAUCAACCACAGUUAAAUGGACUCGGCGAUGCACGGGAAGAUGUAUUUAAAUGUAUAUUUAUAACUGUUGGCUUCCACCGUUGGACGAUAACCGUUGAUGGGUAAGGGGUAAGGGAAGACAUGCCCCCCUAGAAAAAAUAAAUAUCACAACAAUUGAUUUUUGUUAUUAAUUAUUUAAAUUAAUUUAAACAAUUAUGUAGGUACUAUAAACUGUAGAUAAACAAGUAUUUAAUGCAUCUAAAUCUGUAGUUUAAAUAAUAUUAAUGUUUUGUAGGCAUUGGACUUUAUACUAUUAUUUGUAUAUUUGCAAUCCCACGGUUACCUUGUUGAUAAAUGUUUUGGAAAACCUGAUUUUAGUUUGUUCUCCCGGACAGAAAAUUACUUUCUGGACUCACACAAAAUUAACAUUUAAAUAUUAUCCAUACAUUUUAAAAUAUUAUUCUCAUAAUCAUUCAGGAGUGGAUUUGAUGGAACCCGACCCACUAUUCUAGGUAUACUACACUAAAAAGUUUUCAGGAUCUUAUUUAUUUAUUUUUAAAUAUCGAUAUAUAUAUAUAUAUUGUUCAAUUAAAGUUGAAUUAAUAAAAAAGCGUAAACGAUUAAAAGGUUUGUGAAUGUACAAUUAUUAAAAAUAAGUAAUAUCUCGUAAUUAAUAUUAAUACGAAUUUAAAUGUUUGUCGUAAAUAAUUAAUAUAUUAAUGUAUAAUGUUGCGUAUAAUAGAGAAGAUUGAAAAUCGACUGCAAACCAAUCUUCAGAUUUAAACCAUAAAGAGAAAAUUAAUAUGUCAAUAAUAACGUAGAAUGAAAGCAUAUCAUAAUAUAAUAUUAUAAUCAAUAUGAUUAAAAUUUGGUGUAAUAUGGAACAUAAAAUGUGAUACUUUAAUGUAGUAUAUGGGUACCUAUAUAUUAACUUUAUCAUCCUCUGAUUAAUAUUUCUAGUAAAUAUAUUUUGAGUAAAUACAAUAUAAUAUGUAAUAUAUAAUAUAUAUCCAAUUAUGGUAUAUUUUUAUUUUUAAAAUAUUACCUUUUUUUUCCAAUUAAGAAAUUCAUUGUUUACUAAAUUUUGUAUUUGUUGUGUCCGUAGCAUUAAUGAAUCGACGAGUCUCAAGAAAUAAGUAUAUGCAAAAAUUAAUAGGUAAUCAUGGGUCUAUAUCACGAUGCAGAUAAAAUGUUACAAAACUUAUGCACAAAGUCAAAAAUCACACAUAACAAAU